CCUUCCCCCCGCCGCCGACCGCUAGCAAUCUAGCAGCCCACACGCCGUCGGCCGUCGCCAGCACGGCCUCACCGCGGCAGCGAGGUUUCAGCCCUGCCCCCUUCAUCCUCAGGCACCCCCAAUGCUAACACUUUUAACCCUCGGGCCGCAUGUUCUCGAAGUCAGAGCACCGACGCUGAGAGGCCAAGGAGCGGUGGUGAACGCCGCCACCCCUCUCAGAUCCGGGGGUGAGAUAGAGAGGUGGGUCACCUGGGAGAGGGAGAACUAGCCCCCGCUCUCGUCACCAUGGCGCCUCCACCGCCGCCGCCACGCCAGGGGCCUCCAUCGAUCUGCACUCGCCGGAUCUGUUCAAGGAGAAUCUGGCCAUUGACUGCCGGUGCUUUCCCUCCCCCGACGAUCCGCCAUGACUUGUGGUAAUUCUUCUAUCCAGCAAGCAGCUCUUCGGUUGGGAGUUGGAGCAGAAUUGGCGGAGCUACAAAGAAAAGCCUGGGCGGGCCAAUCUAAAAAAACACGAAAAAAAUUCAACCCAAGGAAAGGAUGAUGAGCUGCUGCUGAAAAGUCUUCCUCAACUUAAUCUGUAACGUACAUCUCUUUUUUCACUUGAAAACCAAAUCGAUUUUGCAUUGAU